rnacentral:lncRNA from 1 species
GUGGUAUGGGUUAGGCUUUUCUGCAUAGUUUUGUGUGGCUCUCUAAAGCAUAUCCAGUUUUUGUAGCUGUGACUGGUACUGAGAGUUGUAAAAGUUGUGAAGUUUAUGCCGGUGUGAAACUGCAACAGGGUCUUGAGACUUCUGAGACUGCUGCCUAUGAGAAAUACUGCUUUCAGCGGAUUGUGAUGGAGAUGCUUCUGGUGGUAUACAUUGAAGUUCCAAUUGGAAACCAGCUAAGGGAUGGAAAGAGCAUACUCUGGGUUUGGCUAAAUAAGGUCCUGUGAGACCCUUACUCCAUUCUCAGGUCAGGUACUC